rnacentral:rRNA from 1 species
UACGUAGGCAGCAAGCGUUGUUCGGAAUCACUGGGCUUAAAGGGCGCGUAGGCGGAGGGUUUAGUCGGGGGUGAAAUCCUCCAGCUCAACUGGAGAAUGGCCUCCGAUACUGACUCUCUCGAGGGAGGUAGGGGCAUGUGGAACUCAGGGUGGAGCGGUGAAAUGCGUAGAUAUCCUGAGGAACGCCGGUGGCGAAAGCGACGUGCUGGACCUCUUCUGACGCUGAGGCGCGAAAGCCAGGGGAGCAAACGGG